UACGAAGGGGGCUAGCGUUGCUCGGAAUGACUGGGCGUAAAGGGCGCGUAGGCGGAUGGCACAGUCAGAUGUGAAAUUCCCGGGCUUAACCUGGGGGCUGCAAUUGAUACGUGUUGUCUUGAGUUCGGAAGAGGGUCGUGGAAUUCCCAGUGUAGAGGUGAAAUUCGUAGAUAUUGGGAAGAACACCGGUGGCGAAGGCGGCGACCUGGUCCGACACUGACGCUGAGGCGCGAAAGCGUGGGGAGCAAACAGG
rnacentral:rRNA from 1 species